rnacentral:lncRNA from 1 species
CAUGGCUGCAAUUUAGUUUUGAUUAUAUCAUGCAUCCAGUUGAAAGCACACACGCAUGGUGGCUGUAGACAUGGGAAGUGUCAGGACAAAAUGCUUUGCAGCCUAAGAAGAUGGGGCAAACACUUCGUUUAAGCAAGCAACUAGUCGGCCAUCACGCUUCACAGGAGUCAGGAAUGACAGUCACACCUCACACAGGGCUUGUAGUAGUAUGCUCCCUCUGUUUAUCUUCCGUCUGAAUCCAUAUGGGAAUUAAGCAGGAUGGCAGUAGCUAACGGGCUUAGCAAGAUGUGGAGGCCUAUGAAC